GUGGGGAAUAUUGGGCAAUGGGCGCAAGCCUGACCCAGCAACGCCGCGUGAAGGAAGAAGGCUUUCGGGUUGUAAACUUCUUUGACAGGGGACGAAACAAAUGACGGUACCCUGAAAACAAGCCACGGCUAACUACGUGCCAGCAGCCGCGGUAAUACGUAGGUGGCAAGCGUUAUCCGGAUUUACUGGGUGUAAAGGGCGUGUAGGCGGGAUUACAAGUCAGAUGUGAAAACUAUGGUGUCAAACCAUAGCCUGCAUUUGAAACUGUAGUUCUUGAGUGAUGGAGAGGCAGACGGAAUUCCUCGUGUAGCGGUGAAAUGCGUAGAUAUGAGGAGGAACACCAGUGGCGAAGGCGGUCUGCUGGACAUUAACUGACGCUGAGGCGCGAAAGCGUGGGGAGCAAACAGGAUUAGAUACCCCAGUAGUCC
rnacentral:rRNA from 1 species